rnacentral:rRNA from 1 species
CCUACGGGAGGCUGCAGUGAGGAAUAUUGGUCAAUGGGCGGGAGCCUGAACCAGCCAAGCCGCGUGAGGGAAGAAGGUACAGCGUAUCGUAAACCUCUUUUGUCAGGGAACAAAGGCGGGGACUAGUCCCCGGAUGAGGGUACCUGAAGAAAAAGCAUCGGCUAACUACGUGCCAGCAGCCGCGGUAAUACGUAGGGGGCAAGCGUUAUCCGGAUUUACUGGGUGUAAAGGGAGCGUAGACGGCGCUGCAAGUCCGGAGUGAAAGCCCAUGGCUUAACCAUGGUACUGCUCUGGAAACUGUGGAGCUUGAGUGCGGGAGGGGCAGGCGGAAUUCCUAGUGUAGCGGUGAAAUGCGUAGAUAUUAGGAGGAACACCGGCGGCGAAGGCGGCCUGCUGGACCGUAACUGACGUUGAGGCUCGAAAGCGUGGGGAGCAAACAGGAUUAGAUACCCCAGUAGUC